CUGGAAACGGUAGCUAAUACCGCAUAACGUCGCAAGACCAAAGAGGGGGACCUUCGGGCCUCUUGCCAUCGGAUGUGCCCAGAUGGGAUUAGCUAGUAGGUGGGGUAACGGCUCACCUAGGCGACGAUCCCUAGCUGGUCUGAGAGGAUGACCAGCCACACUGGAACUGAGACACGGUCCAGACUCCUACGGGAGGCAGCAGUGGGGAAUAUUGCACAAUGGGCGCAAGCCUGAUGCAGCCAUGCCGCGUGUAUGAAGAAGGCCUUCGGGUUGUAAAGUACUUUCAGCGGGGAGGAAGGGAGUAAAGUUAAUACCUUUGCUCAUUGACGUUACCCGCAGAAGAAGCACCGGCUAACUCCGUGCCAGCAGCCGCGGUAAUACGGAGGGUGCAAGCGUUAAUCGGAAUUACUGGGCGUAAAGCGCACGCAGGCGGUUUGUUAAGUCAGAUGUGAAAUCCCCGGGCUCAACCUGGGAACUGCAUCUGAUACUGGCAAGCUUGAGUC
rnacentral:rRNA from 1 species